AUACUCGACAUACAUAGACAUACUCAUCAUCUAAUCAUAGAUUAAAAAAUGUACAUACCCCUAGAAUUUUUUUCGAAUUUUUUACGUCAAUUUUGGCAAAACUUCACCCUAUGUAGAGUUUUACAUAGUUAUUUACAUAUAUACUUGGCAUACAUAGACAUACUCAUCAUGUACUCAUAGAUUAAAAAAUGUACAUACUCCCAGAAUUUUUUUCGGAUUUUUUACGUCAAUUUUGACAAAGAUACACCCCAUAUAUGGAUUAAUUCGAAUAAACCGUGAGGUGAUUGAACUUCCUGACCUACCUCAAUACACCGACUGUUGACCCACUACUAAGGAAUGUCUGGUCCCCCUUUCUUCGCCCUCUUACUACGGAUUUUCGUAGUAAGCGCUGAUUGGCUGCUGAUUCCUAUUCAUAAAUGAACUUGGAUGCAGGGUAUUUUAUGAUGGAAAGAAAUAGAGCAAGUAUACGAAUUCGGGCGAAAAUGGUCAACUUCAAACGCUUGUAACUUCCUGAAAAAUGCACUUAGCCAAACGAAAUUGGAACCAAAUUAAAGCUUAAAUCUUCUACUUUCAGAUGCAUUCAAUUAAAAAAAUCUAUCUCUUUUUUCCUCACCAGUGCAACGCUUUGAAGCAGGUGAUGCGCGUACUCAUUUUUUGCGAAAGAAAUUCAACGCAACUCAUUUUUGUUUGGCGAAGCCGGGCCCGUUUUAUCCGCAUAGAACGAAAUUCACAAAUGCCCCAACUGAUAGAUUGAUGCGCACGUCCACGACAGCCGACAAGAUAUCGUGAAAUAUCUGUGACAAUUAAUGUAUUUCGAUGAAUUGCAUCGGUAGUAUUUCAUCAAAAAAUGGAAGGUAUAACAAGUAGCAGGAGGUGAAGAAGACCAGCUCAGUAAUUUCACGAUUGUAGUUUAUUUUCGCAGUACUUUAUAACAUAUCAUUGAUUACGGGCAUGUGACAUAAGGUUGGUGAAUGCUUAUUGAUGUUAAAGCACCUAUAUUUUACGUCUCAGUUACCAACCUUACGUGACAUAUCACCGUUUAUUUUUGAUUUUUUUUUCUCGUUACCUUACGAUUAAGUCAACUUAUUCAUAUAUGUAUCGCGUUAUUUCAACUUAAUAUACACAAACAACACAAUAAAUAUAUAUUCAUGUUUAAAUUCAUAUGUAUAUAUAAUAUAAUUCUUAUAAUUAUCAUCGCAAGCUUAUGAAUAAUUAGGAAGUUUUUCAAUUGUAUAUUAAAUUAUACACUAAUACACCUAUUGCCUAGAAAUAGAUAAAUUAGGGUUCAUCGCUCACCGCGACACUGAUAUUUUCGAAUGACAAUUUCGCGCGAUUGUUCAUUUGUGCUUCAUUUUUCUUCGGUAAUAAAUAUAUCUCGUUAAUAUAUUCAACAAAUUCAUCUAUUCAGUCACGAAGAUAUAUAAAUGUCCCGCAUUUAUCGUUGCCGCUGAUCAUCCGAUUAUUUACACAUAUAUAAUUACAUAACAGAACAUCGUAAUGAUCUGAAUCAUUACUUAAAAACUUCGUAUGCGGCAAUAAAUAAAUUGCGAAAAUCAUAAUCUGUAUCAAUUAUUCAA